rnacentral:lncRNA from 1 species
CUGGUCCCCAAGGCCUCCCACACUCGUCACUGCUGGUCUGGGAAGAGGACACCAGUUUGCGCUUCACCACACGGUCAGCCCUCGGAGGCAGCCAGUCUCCGAGAGGCCGGGCUUUGGUCCUACCCCAGGCGGUCUCGCCCCCAGGAGACCCUCGGCAGUUUCUGGAGAUGUUUCUGGUGGUCACACUCGGGGUGCAUGCGUGUGUGUAUAUUACAUUCUACAGUCAUGUACGGCAUAUACGCCUGACUGCAUAUACAGUGACGGUCCCAUGAGAUUAAUACCACACAGCCCAGAUGUGUAGCAGGCUAUACCAUCCAGGUUUGGGUAAGUACCCUCUAUGGUGUUCACACAAUGACAAAAUCACCUAACACCUUUCUCAGAAUGUAUCCUGUCAUUAAGCACCAUGUGACUGUAUUGAUGUAUCCUAGUGCCACACAAUGGCUGUGUGCCCUCAGGCAAGUUACUUCACCUCUCUGGGCCUGGGUCUCCUCAUCUUCAAAUCAGAGAUCAUAAAGAGGAAGAACCAGGAUGUUAAGUCCUAGCCCUGCUCCCUCCUGGCUCCCGGACCCCAUGUGAGAAAUGUGAUAUUUUCGAGCAUAUGGGGAAGCCAUUCCGGUUUGAACCUGCUUUGGCCUGAAUUUUAUUUGAACCGGAGCAGCCUGACUUACGGCCUGUCAGACAGACAUGGUACAUCUGCUCUAAUCAUUACCCUAAAGCAAAGAAUGUGCUCUUUGAAGAUUAAAAAAACUGUCCUGCCUCCCUUCCUUUGACACCAGCGCUCUUUAAAGAUAAGACUGGGUGCCUCCCUCCCACAGCGCCAAGGCCGCCUGGACUCCCGCCCGCGCCGAUCUGUAACCAAACACCGCUCUGCUCCCUUGAGCCCAUGUCCCCGCCGCCGUGCUCGCUGUGCGUCUCUCUGCUGGGAAAUGGCGAACAACUGUGCCGAAAACCAGUGUUCCCUGGAGCGCUUUGCACUCCCAGCUCAAAUAAAACUCUCUAGGUAGAAUGAUCAUUGGUUAUUGGCAUUGACAGACCUGAAAGAACGAGUGGUUUCACUGCUCUGUGCCGUAGUUGCCCCAUCUGGAACAAAGACAUGUUACUGUACCAGCCUAGGAGCUGUUGUGAGGAUCGAAGGAGAGAUCCUUACAAAGCGCUCCACACGUUAGCUAUUAUUAUGCUUGGUGCUGUUGUUGGCGAGCUAGACUCAGAGGAGCCGGUGGGGAUGAGGCGGGCGCACACCAGCACAACACGGAGUGAGAAGCACAGCUCAGCGCGUUCAGAAAACAGAGGGGCCCCAGCAAGGCCAGGUAUUUUCAUCCUCCUGACCCUCUGCCCAGGCUCUCAAGGGACAACUGGAGUCGCAGGUGUUUCAUGUGGUUCUCACUAAACACAAGGAACAACCAAUACAUUGUACGGGCUUGCACUUCAGUCAGGAUCACCUGUUGAUCUCCCUAGUGCGUAUUUCUUUUGAGAUAUCCAGCUUUUUUUGUUUAGAAUUUCUAUGUUAAGUAGUUAUUUAUUGUCAUAGCGAUUAUAUGCACGUUUCCAGAAUGUUUUUUGCUUUUUAAAAGAAACCUUUUUAAAAAAAUGAGUGUGGGGCCGGCCCGUGGCCAAGUGGUUGAGUUCACACUCAGCUUCGGCGGCCCAGGGUUU